CAGUAGCCACGGUAAUACAGAUGGUGCGAGCGUUAAUCGGAUUUACUGGGCGUAAAGCGUGCGUAGGCGGCUUUUUAAGUCGGAUGUGAAAUCCCUGAGCUUAACUUAGGAAUUGCAUUCGAUACUGGGAAGCUAGAGUAUGGGAGAGGAUGGUAGAAUUCCAGGUGUAGCGGUGAAAUGCGUAGAGAUCUGGAGGAAUACCGAUGGCGAAGGCAGCCAUCUGGCCUAAUACUGACGCUGAGGUACGAAAGCAUGGGGAGCAAACAGGAUUAGAUACCCGCGUAGUCCCUGUCUCUUAUAC
rnacentral:rRNA from 1 species